rnacentral:tRNA from 1 species
GCGGGCGAAGCUCCGUGGGGGUAUGGGGGUGAACAAACGUGAACCGCGCCGGGUUUGCCGGAGGCUCCAAACCUUGCCAAGGUUGGGGUCGUGAGUUCGAAUCUCAUCGCCCGCUCCA